UCUGGCUUCUGCCUUAUUCAAUAUCCGCCAGGCAGACAAGGCUCCUGGGAGCAUCCCUGAAGUAAUCGCAAGAAAUAAGGCUUGCUGGGGAGGCCUAUCUGCUGUGAUUGUUCCUUUUCACAAACCACAAUGACUCUGAAAAACCUGGCUAUAAACACCAGCACUGCCACCAGCUAAGGAUCUGUGAUCAGGAGUGCCAUCUCACAGAGACAGGGCUGGGUCCUGGGGACAGUGGAAAAUAAAGAAGACCCAGUUGGUACCUGCCAUUCUGGAGCUUAGAGUCCAGUGGGGACAAUGGAUGUUCCACAAGCAGUUCACAC